rnacentral:rRNA from 1 species
UACGAAGGGGGCUAGCGUUGCUCGGAAUCACUGGGCGUAAAGCGCACGUAGGCGGCUUUUUAAGUCAGGGGUGAAAUCCUGGAGCUCAACUCCAGAACUGCCUUUGAUACUGGGAAGCUUGAGUCCGGAAGAGGUGAGUGGAACUGCGAGUGUAGAGGUGAAAUUCGUAGAUAUUCGCAAGAACACCAGUGGCGAAGGCGGCUCACUGGUCCGGUACUGACGCUGAGGUGCGAAAGCGUGGGGAGCAAACAGG